GCAUAUACAUUUCAUAAAUAGUUUGUCUUUAUGCACAGUAUCCAUGCUUACAUUUUAAUAUCAUUUUCUUACAACCUACCCCAUCUCCCACUUUCAACGUCAGGAAAACUGCAUGUCAGGACAGAUGAUAAAUCUGCAGAGCCAAUACAGGAAUGGCUUGCAGCAGGGCUGGAGCCCUAAGAAUUUUCUUAAUGAGACUUCUCCAAAGCUCUGUAGGUAGCAUCUAUGGCAGAUUCCUUGGUCUUUCAUUUACCCACUUUAAGGUAUUUGGGUAGAUUGUGGGGCAAGACACCUCUGGCCCUUGGUAGGGGGCCCCAUUCUUUCUUGUGCCACCUCAGGGGAAAGAACAUGAGUAAAGAAAAAAGUAUAUACAAGAUUCCCUCUAGACCUCCCCAUCCCCCCACACCCCUCCCCAAAAUAACCCAACCUUAAUAUAUACUUUUGAACAAUGAGGGAACAGCUGGGUCGAGUUGAACAGUAAGUGCUUCUUUGUUAUCUAAAUUGAU
rnacentral:lncRNA from 1 species